rnacentral:rRNA from 1 species
AGCGAACGCUGGCGGCAGGCCUAACACAUGCAAGUCGAACGGAUCCUUCGGGAUUAGUGGCGGACGGGUGAGUAACACGUGGGAACGUGCCCUUUGGUUCGGAACAACUCAGGGAAACUUGAGCUAAUACCGGAUGUGCCCUUCGGGGGAAAGAUUUGUCGCCAUUGGAGCGGCCCGCGUCUGAUUAGCUAGUUGGUGAGGUAAAGGCUCACCAAGGCGACGAUCAGUAGCUGGUCUGAGAGGAUGAUCAGCCACAUUGGGACUGAGACACGGCCCAAACUCCUACGGGAGGCAGCAGUGGGGAAUCUUGCGCAAUGGGCGAAAGCCUGACGCAGCCGUGCCGCGUGAAUGAUGAAGGUCUUAGGAUUGUAAAUUUCUUUCACCGGGGACGAUAAUGACGGUACCCGGAGAAGAAGCCCCGGCUAACUUCGUGCCAGCCGCCGCGGUAACAC